rnacentral:tRNA from 1 species
GGCGGAAUGGCCGAGCGGUCUAAGGCGCUAGAAUCAGGAUCUAGUCCGAAAGGGCGUGGGUUCGAAUCCCACUUCCGUCA